GUGAGCUUAAGAGAAUGUCUGUUCCUCCAUCUCUCUUUCCUUCUCUGAUGCCCCCACCAUCCACAGGUUUGGGUUAGAGCACUGAGUUUUGUUUUCUACUCUGGUAACCUAUCUUCCAGUCGUUCCAGGUCUCAGACUAUGUAGUGUUGAGUCUUAGAGCAUUUAUUUUGUUACCCACCUCACAAUUUUGCUUUUGUUCACUGCCUCCUUUCAGUAGUGUGAGGAGAUAGGGACUUGUUGUCUAGUCCACUUCUGCCAUGUUCUCUCCCUUCUACACUGACAUUUUUAAUCAUUAAACAAAUAGAACAAAUUGAUCCAUCUGAACCUUCUGUAUAUUCAGCAUCAGGACAUUGUUCACUAUACAUAAUUUGACUUUCAUAUGCAACCUUAUUGAUAGCUUUCCAAUAUAAUACAACACACAUGCAAUAAUCAUAAAUAUCAAAUUUUAUCUAGAGGAAAUUUAUUAUUCAUAUCAGGAUAUUAUAUUGACACAGAAAUGGAGAAUAAAUUGUCAUACAUUUGAGGAGAUUACCCUAACCAUAGAUUCUAUACAUAUAGAAACUAUACCUACAUAUGUUAGAAAUAUAGAAAACUGUGUGUGGAUAAUAGUUUAUAAAUCAAACAGUAAGUUACUAUAUUGCAGUUAUACCUCUAAAUCAUUUGGUUAUAAAUUCACAAUGUGUAAAGUUGGCCAAUGCAAUCAGUGUUACUGUGAAUGGAAAAUCUUACUUAGCUUCCUAUACUCAAGAAAUG
rnacentral:lncRNA from 1 species